GAUGGCAGCAGCAGACACACAGGGUGGUUAAGAACAACAAACACAGGUCUCAUGAAUAUAACACGAUGCCCAGCACAUAGAAAGCAUACAAUAAGUGUUUGUUGGAUAACUGUGGACAGUUCAGUCGACCAGCAAAUUCCUCUUAGGACUCUAGAUGCACGGAGAGUGGCCAGAUUAAUACAGACUGGCAAAAGAAGAACUUGGCAAAGUGAUUUGAUCACACACUUCUCACCCUCACAUCUCCUGACAGUUCCCCUAAUCCCUGCCCCACUUCCCCGCCAUGGGCUUCCAUCAGGAAACUCCUUGAUAUCAUCUUCGAGAAGAAAACUGAGGCAUAGAACAUUUGGGAAUGAAUCUAAGACUACACAUCUAGAAUAGCAGAGUUACAGGAAUGCAGAUGUGAUUCCUAUGGAUGAGGGUAACCUAGAGGCUAGAAGAACAAUAGGACAGAAGAAGCCUGGGUCCCUGAACAACCUUGUGGAGCAUAGACACCUACGUGGCCUGGACUGCCAGCUCACAAUGGGCCUCUCUGUGAGAGAAGGAAACUUCCCUCUUGUUUAAGCAACUGUGCUUUUGAGAAUCUCUUGGUCUAUACCCUAAUGAAUAAGGCCAUCAUAAAUGGAUAUCAAAGUAAGGAAAUUUGUGUAAAUGAUUUAAUAAAA
rnacentral:lncRNA from 1 species